GAUGAACGCUGGCGGCGUGCCUAAUACAUGCAAGUCGAGCGAACGGACGAGAAGCUUGCUUUUCUGAUGUUAGCGGCGGACGGGUGAGUAACACGUGGAUAACCUACCUAUAAGACUGGGAUAACUUCGGGAAACCGGAGCUAAUACCGGAUAAUAUUUUGAACCGCAUGGUUCAAAAGUGAAAGACGGUCUUGCUGUCACUUAUAGAUGGAUCCGCGCUGCAUUAGCUAGUUGGUAAGGUAACGGCUUACCAAGGCAACGAUGCAUAGCCGACCUGAGAGGGUGAUCGGACACACUGGAACUGAGACACGGUCCAGACUCCUACGGGAGGCAGCAGUAGGGAAUCUUCCGCAAUGGGCGAAAGCCUGACGGAGCAACGCCGCGUGAGUGAUGAAGGUCUUCGGAUCGUAAAACUCUGUUAUUAGGGAAGAACAUAUGUGUAAGUAACUGUGCACAUCUUGACGGUACCUAAUCAGAAAGCCACGGCUAACUACGUG
rnacentral:rRNA from 1 species